UUGGGAUCAAAAUCCUCUAUGGCAUUUGACUUGGCCUCGUCCUCGUGUACGAUGGAUUGAAGUGAAGCGAUCUGAAAACUGGUUUCCUUAACGACCCUGUUUAAGGAAGCCGGCCAAACCACUCAAAACAUAUGCUCCAAAAUCUCAUCCUCAAAACCCAUCUCUUAUCUCUUCUUUCUCUUCUUUCUCUUCUUCUUCUUCUUCUGCUUGAGGGUUUGCCAAGAAGAGAAAACAUCCAUUCGUCUUAAGCAUAGCAGGUCCUUUGCUUCAUCUCUCACAUUCGAAUGAUUGAUCAUCUCUUCAUACCUUCUUCUUCAGAUUUCGUUUGAACGUCUUCAUCCCUUCUUCUCCAGAUUUGCAAGGGAACAUGCGAUGAAGCUCUUUCUCAAUUUUCUUCCCAAGCAUCGAUAACAGAUAUUUUGCACCAAUACUAGGAAUGGGAUUAAUGGCAUUAUUUAUCAUCUUUGAUUGUUGAUUUUGGUUGUUUAAUUUUGGUUAUUGAUUUUGGCUUUUGAUUAAGGACAUUUAUUUUGCACAGAACCAGUUUUAUCUUUUUUUGUGUAUGCUUACCUUUAUUUUGCUUUAGAUUUAGGAUAUUGAAAACUAACUUUUUCAGAUUAUAGGUGAAUCUUAAGCUCAAAAAUGGAAGCGCACCUGAGAUUUGACCCAAAGUAUGAUGGUUCGAAUCCAUCAAGAUUCUUGGAAAACUAAAUAUUGGUUGUGUGGUGUGUUGCAUAAUGAUUUUCUUACUUGUUUGAAUAGAAACAGAUCUGGUGUUUACCUAA